UCCCUGGAGGACCAGUGGUUAGGCCAUGGCGCUCUCACCGCCGCGGCCCAGGUUCGAUUCCCGGCCAGGGAA
rnacentral:tRNA from 1 species